rnacentral:lncRNA from 1 species
UAUUGUUCCCUCCUUCUGUGCUCUUUGGGGAAAUAGGAAUUACAGAACGUAAUUUGCAGGACAUAAGAAGUGAAUCCAGGGAUACCGGGGUGUGUGUGUCGUACUGAACUAUUUUCUUUUUGUUAUCAAUAGCUUAAUUUAACUUCUAUGGGAUGAAAACAGGUUGGAGAGAGAAAAUAAUCAGGUAAUAUAACACAGAGGGACACAGCAGUAGUGACAAAAAUGAUGAAGGUUAUGACAAGAUGGGAAAAUUUGGGGUCAUCUGGGCUGUGUUUUAAAAGCUCUUAUCUUCAGUGUGAUCUAUUAUAUUUUUAAUAAGUGCCAUAGCGCUACAGUAAUACAUCAACCCAGCGUGGGCAGUUCCUUAUCUCUGAAAUAGCGCUGUGUCACUUAGGGUAAUCUUUUCCCAAAAAACUGUAGGUUCUCUAGAGACAAUAUUAGCUGUCUGCUUGAGACCUUGAACCUGUGCAUGUUUCCUCAGAUGUAAACCCUACAUUACUCAGUGAAACCUCCCCCAUGUCAGCACACACAGCUGCAGAUGUAAACCCUACAUUACUCAGUGAAACCCCCAUGUCAGCACACACAACUGCUGUCAGUGUAAUGUAUUUAAAAAGCAGCGAAAUAAUCGGCCUCAAUGCCUUGUAUUCUUCCCAUUUCUGACUUUUUCUAAAGGAUGUGUUCCGAAUGAAGGACUCCACUGGGAUAAAAACCUCUUCCAGGGGCACACCAGACCCGGGGGCCUCAUGGCCACACCUCAGCGUCUCCCUGGAAGACAAUCUAUCAGCUCCCGCCAAAAUAUUGGGCCACAGGAAGAUGGCACCGAGGACCAUUUUGGGCUUCAACCUGGAUCAAGGGGCCACAUCCUGGCCCAGCCCCAAGCCUGCGGUACGUCUUUGCUUUCUGUCAACCACGGCAAUACGGUCCUCGCAGAAGAGCCGGUUGAUAGAAGCGAGCCACCGGAUUCCACCAGCCAGGUAAGGGGUUGUACACGCAAGGGAGCCUGUUGUCCUCCUCUUAAUUGGCUCUUUAUUACUUAGUGUGUGUGUGUGUGUGUUUUGUGCAGUCAAGUCGGAAACAACCAAUAGCCACCUUAACAAGAGCUUUUCAAGGGAAGUGAGAU